CAUAACGUUAAAUGCAGACGAGACAAGGCACUAGGACAGGAAUGGAUUACGUGCGGGAUUAUCAAUCACUUCAUCUCUUCCGGCGUAUCCCUUUAAAGUCGACAUGGUCUGGAGAGCUGCUGGGGUGGAUGAACUGUGGGUCAGCAGUAGGCCUGUGCUGUGGACACACAUGCUGGUGGUGGUGAUGGUGGUGUCUUCUAUUGUCCCUGGCUGUGGCAAAUAUAAGGGAAACAUUGGCUUACCCGUGUGCAUCGCCACACCAGAGCUCCAAUUAAGAGGAAUAAGAUGACGAUGAAGGCCGUCCAACUCAGCACAAUCAAGAUGAGUUCCAUGAUGGUCUGACCGCCGCCACAGCCCUUCUCUGGAUCUCUCUCUGUAUGGAGGGGAGAGGGAAUUAGAAGAAGUGGUUCAGCUUCAUGUCUUCUUGAAAAACUCUGGGCCUUAUUGCCCUUUGACUCUGACCCAGAGUUUUUCCUGGCUUGGUCAACUGCUCAGGGAAAACUCAUUCAAAAGAAAUUCAAAGGAAUAUGGUGAGUCCAUAUUGCACAUAUUGGAACACAAUACCUAACAUCUUGUGCACUAAUCAUGAUCAUAGCUAGUACUAGCCACAUUAAAACCACUUACAUCAGUUGUGGUAUGUCGUUGAAAUUGCAGCGAUUGAUAUUUUCACACCGCAUCAUAAAAAAGUGUGUAACAGACAAUUCUAGAAUAAUGAUUGGAUACCAAUUCUUUGUUAAUCCAGGAA